rnacentral:rRNA from 1 species
AUACGGAGGAUCCGAGCGUUAUCCGGAUUUAUUGGGUUUAAAGGGUGCGCAGGCGGCCAUUUAAGUCAGCGGUUAAAUCGUGGGGCUCAACCCCAUUCUGCCGUUGAUACUGGGUGGCUUGAUUGCGGUCGAGGUUGGCGGAAUUCGUUGUGUAGCGGUGAAAUGCAUAGAUAUGACGAAGAACACCGAUUGCGUAGGCAGCUGACCAGACCGCAAAUGACGCUCAUGCACGAAAGUGCGGGGAUCGAACAGGAUUAGAUACCCUGGUAGUCCGCACAGUAAACGAUGAAUACUUGGUUUCGGCGAUAUAAUGUCGGAGGCAAAGCGAAAGCGAUAAGUAUUCCACCUGGGGAGGACGCCGGCAACGGUGAAACUCAAAGGAAUUGACGGGG